ensembl:lncRNA
GUGUUGUGUGCUGGUGGCAGCGGCGGCAGGUGCGAGCAAUCUGGGCAUCAGCAGGAACCGGUGUGCCAGGACCAAUUUGUCAUCAUCAGUUCGACGCCGGAUCGUGAAUGCUCACAUGCGGACCACACCUGCUCUGCUGAUCGAACCAUCUUGCCCUACUGGACUCAUCAAGACCUCUGUGUUCCUAAUGUGGCCUACUGAUUAGCCAUCAUGCCAUACAGCUGUGGGGGAACUAAUGAUUGGUUUGGCCGUUGCAGCAGGGGGUUCCAAUUGAUUGACGGACAUAGCUCCAGUAUACUCCUGAACACUCCUGGACAGGUACGCGCUGUGCAGCACGCGAAACACUGUCCGAAGAGGGAGAGAUGAAAAAGGGGAAGGAGAGGAGAGCGUUUAAGGUCAGGAAGAACCAGGUAAGAAAACAAACAGAGAACAGUGGCAGCAGAACAACAACUGUUAAGCUGACAAGCAUUUAAAUAACCUUUAUCAGAUUCGAUGGUUUAGUCACAGACUUUGUCAAAAAAUGUUCUGCUUUUCUUUCACAAAUGUGGGAAUGAAAUUGCGUUAAAAUGUACAAAACAGUGAAAUGUAUCUUGCCUGUCCGGGCACCUCUGGGUGCUCAGCACCAGUGUUACCAACUCCUCAGUAAGGAAAGUAGCUAUUGGCUGUCCUAAAAGUCGCUAAAUGACGUCAUCGCCUAAUUUGCACAGUUUCCCGGUAAUUGUAAUCAACGUUGUAGGAGAGACAGAAAGUGAGAAUAAAACACCCAAAAUGUGUUUCUGAACUAGAGGCUGAAUGCAGGGAUUUAUUUUAGUGACAGUGAAGAAACAUUUUCAUUUCCAUCCCGCUCUGUAAGCAGGACGGAUCUGCAGAGACUUUGAUUCAUCUGCCGUCUGGACAUGGAGUGAUGUGGGUCUCCUCUAAUCAGACAGUAGGAUGCUGCAGGUCACUAGACUGACCGCCUGUGCUUUGGAAGGGGAGGAGCUCACAGCGCCACCUGCUGCUCGUUGAGGACGGUAACUACAGAACGAUCCCAGCUUUCAUGUCAGACAGGGGCGGAUCCAGAUUCAUUUUAGUGGGGGGGCACAGGGGGGUACAACAGAUAUUUUGGGGGGAUUGUAAGAAAAAAUGAAAGCUGCUACUGACCUCUCGCUUUUACAAAGUAUUUUACAUGUUUUUUUUUUUGGCUCUUUAACCCAAUAGGAAAGCUGUAUAUGACCUUUUCAUUUUGGACUGUUAACAUUCAAAUUAUGAUGGACUUGUUUCCUUGUUUAUAUGAAUUACAGCAUCAUUAGCUGCAACAUCUGCCUGUUCUGUAAAACUGGUAGUUCGACAGCAUCCUGAGGGCAAUUAAGUGACAAAUAUUGAGCAAGAACAGCAUGAUUACAACUCUGUCAAUUUCCACUUCUUAGAAUGUUUACUGUCAAUUAUCACACAUAAAACAAGAAAUAAUAUUCUGUACUUUUAGCAACCAGUUCUCAGCUGUAAACCAUGAACAUCACAGGGUUCUGUAUUCUAAUCAGUCUAAAUCAGAAUGAGUACUACCCAAUACACAGUGAAUAAAUAUUAUCUGAAAGUCAGGUUAUUGUUGUUUAUCAGCACAAUACAAAAAGAUUCAUGUUAGAAAUAUUCCAGUUAAGACUCUAGAAAAUCAUGAUUUAUGUAAAUUUACCUCAAUAAUAUGAAUGUUCAGGUUAAGAUUGUGCAGUGAUAUUUAUUAUGCAAGUUUAGCUGAUUAAAGUUUAUGCCUCCGCACUACAAUAUUAUUUAGUAUAUACAUUUACAUCAUUAUUAUAAUAUUUAGGGUCAGACUCUACAGUAUUGAGAUUAAGAAAUCAAAUAUUCUAUAAAAUGUAAAUACAUUGAACUCAUUUGGAUAUAUUUAAGUGAGACUCUACAAUAUUGUUUGACACAAAUCUAUCUAAAUCCAAAUUUUAAUCAUUUUUACUCCAAACAUUUACUGGGCUGGUUUAAAUAUUAAAAUCACUCCUUUCUAAUCCUCUGCUGUCUGUUCAAACCUGAGGCCUUAAAUAGAAACACACAAGUAUCUGAUUGAAGGAACUUCUGCAGAGUCCUGGUUCCACAACAUGAUGAUAGAAUUAUAGACAAACUUUAACAAAAGCUGCCUGAGAGUUUACAGGUUUUUAUGUUAGAUUUCUUCAGUAAUUUAAUAAGAGUUAUCAGCAAAAAUCAAGUGUUCAUUUGAUGAACUUCAUUUCCUUAAACAUCCAGAAUUGGAGCUCAUAUCUUUGGCAGCUGUAAAGUUUCUGCUCCUUCAAAGUUCACAACACAAUGAAUGAAUUCCUAAAACACUCUCAAUGCUGGAGAGCGUUUGUGAUGCUGAAGCAGUGAUCAGUUUUUCUGUUUCUUCUCUGGAGAUGCACAAUGAGGGACGUCUGCAGAGACUGAGAAAGAGUCUCACCACAUCCUGACAUGAGGAAAAAGACUUUAUUGAAGACUACAAUGAGAAAAACUAUCAGACAGCAGACGGCUGCAUUCAAGUUUAGGCUGUUGGAUUGUUCCAGAUAAGACAAGUACAAGAUUCUUCAGAGCCGUUCUACCAUGAGCCUGACAGGAAGAACUCCAACAGCUACUGAAUGUUCCUGUGGUUCCCUCAAGGCUACAGGAGGAGCCCUACGAGGACGAGCCGGUCCACCUGAUGGAGGCCAGUAGCUGCGGUUCAAAGCCAACACCGACUACGUGGACUUCUACUGGACCACACGGAGGCCUUCAAACCGGACCAACAAGUUCAGCGACUCCCCGACUCGUGGGUCUGAGGACGCCACCGAGCCUCGGUCCAGCCGGCCUCCUGUCUGUGGGUGUUUGAGUGCUGAGAGGUUUGUGGAUGGAUGUGAACGUUCUGUGUUGAAACAGCAGCUUUGGACUCAGUAACGCCAGGAAAAACCAAGAGCUCCUUUAUUUGUGACUUCCACUAAAAAAACUGAUGAAAAUAAGUUUGCCAGGGUUCUGACUGAUAACAGAUUAUUAGAUAAUGAAAAUAAUCAUUUAAAUAUUCCUUUAAACAAUCCUUUAGGUCUACAUUUCCUUUACACUGACUUCUUGGUAAAUGUACAAGUAUUUUUGGUGGAAUAUACCAUUAAGCCCAAUGUUCAAGGGUUCUUCUGGGAAUAUACCAUUAAACCAACCUUUUAGGUAAAUGUUCCAGGAUGUUGGGUGGAAUAUACCAUCAGACCAACCUCCAAGGUUUACAGUAGUGAAUUUUAGGUGGAAUAUACCAUUAAACUCACCUUUUAGGUCUACAUUGGAGGAUUUUAGGUGGAAUUUUCUUCCAAACCAUCUUUUAGUCUAGAUUUAAGGAUGUUUAGGAUGGUAUAUUCUUCCAAACCAACUUCUCAGGUCUACAUUUCAGGUGGAAUAUUCCUCCAUACUAACUUUUUUGGUCUACAUUGAAGGAUUUUUUUCUCAACCACUCUUUGGGGUCUAUAUUUGAGGUUUUAGGUGGAAUAUUCCUUUUAACCAGCCCCUCAGGUCUCUUUGAGGAUUUUGGAUGGAAUACUCGGUUAAACCAACAUUUUAGGUGCAUGUCCAAGGAUUUUUGGUGGAAUGUUCCUUGAAGGUGGAUGUUUGAGGACCUUGUAGAUGGAAUACUUCCUGAAACCAACCUUUUAGGUCAACAUUCAAAGAUUUAAGGUGGAAUAUUCCUUUAAACCAACCUGAAUUUCAUGUUUUGAUCAUUAUCAAGUGAGAAACCUCAAUCCAGACUCCUCAUAAUGACGUUUGAGAUUUAUGCUGCUGUUAUUUGUUUAGUCCAGACUAAAUGACAGAAAUCCACAACUGUAAUUUUAUUUCAGGACUCGGUUAUUAAAUGUCAAAACAAUCCAUGUGACUCUAAAAACUCAACAGCUUUACAAACUCUAAGAUUAAACUCUCCACAAGGAUCCAAAAUAAGUUGGACUUCUACAUGAGAGCUUUAAUUAUUCUUCAUCUACUUCCUGAAAAGUUUGGUCAAUAAAAAAG